GGUCACUGCUAUCGGUGUUCGUCUAAGCCAUGCGAGUCAUAUGUUCUUUGGAACAUGGCGUACUGCUCAGUAACACGUGGAUAACCUGCCCUUGGGUCCGGCAUAACCCCGGGAAACUGGGGAUAAUACCGGAUAACGCAUAUAUGCUGGAAUUCUUAUGCGUGAAACGGAUUCGUCUGCCCAAGGAUGGGUCUGCGGCCUAUCAGGUAGUAGUGGGUGUAAUGUACCUACUAGCCGACGACGGGUACGGGUUGUGAGAGCAAGAGCCCGGAGAUGGAUUCUGAGACAUGAAUCCAGGCCCUACGGGGCGCAGCAGGCGCGAAAACUUUACAAUGCGGGAAACCGUGAUAAGGGGACACCGAGUGCCAGCAUCAUAUGCUGGCUGUCCGGGUGUGUAAAAUACACCUGUUAGCAAGGGCCGGGCAAGACCGGUGCCAGCCGCCGCGGUAACACCGGCGGCCCGAGUGGUGAUCGUGAUUAUUGGGUCUAAAAGGUCCGUAGCCGGUUUGGUCAGUCCUCCGGGAAAUCUGACGGCUUAACCGUUAGGCUUUCGGGGGAUACUGCCAGACUUGGAACCGGGAGAGGUAAGAGGUACUACAGGGGUAGGAGUGAAAUCUUGUAAUCCCUGUGGGACCACCUGUGGCGAAGGCGUCUUACCAGAACGGGUUCGACGGUGAGGGACGAAAGCUGGGGGCACGAACCGGAUUAGAUACCCGGGUAGUCCCAGCCGUAAACGAUGCUCGCUAGGUGUCAGGCAUGGCGCGACCGUGUCUGGUGCCGCAGGGAAGCCGUGAAGCGAGCCACCUGGGAAGUACGGCCGCAAGGCUGAAACUUAA
rnacentral:rRNA from 1 species